UACGUAGGGGGCAAGCGUUGUCCGGAAUCAUUGGGCGUAAAGCGCGCGUAGGCGGCCCGGUAAGUCCGCUGUAAAAGUCCAGGGCUCAACCCUGGAAAGCCGGUGGAUACUGUCGGGCUAGAGUCCGGAAGAGGCGAGUGGAAUUCCUGGUGUAGCGGUGGAAUGCGCAGAUAUCAGGAGGAACACUGAUGGCGAAGGCAGCUCACUGGUCCGGUACUGACGCUGAGGUGCGAAAGCGUGGGGAGCAAACAGG
rnacentral:rRNA from 1 species